UACAGAGGGUGCUAGCGUUGCUCGGAAUCACUGGGCGUAAAGCGCACGUAGGCGGCUUGUUAAGUCAGGGGUGAAAUCCUGGAGCUCAACUCCAGAACUGCCUUUGAUACUGGCAAGCUUGGAGUCCGGGAGAGGUGAGUGGAACUGCGAGUGUAGAGGUGAAAUUCGUAGAUAUUCGCAAGAACACCAGUGGCGAAGGCGGCUCACUGGCCCGGUACUGACGCUGAGGUGCGAAAGCGUGGGGAGCAAACAGG
rnacentral:rRNA from 1 species